UACGUAGGGUGCAAGCGUUGUCCGGAAUUAUUGGGCGUAAAGAGCUCGUAGGCGGUUUGUCGCGUCUGCCGUGAAAGUCCGGGGCUCAACUCCGGAUCUGCGGUGGGUACGGGCAGACUAGAGUGAUGUAGGGGAGACUGGAAUUCCUGGUGUAGCGGUGAAAUGCGCAGAUAUCAGGAGGAACACCAGCGGCGAAGGCGGCGCUCUGGGCCGGAACUGACGCUGAGGAGCGAAAGCGUGGGUAGCAAACAGG
rnacentral:rRNA from 1 species